ensembl:lncRNA
GGAAAAAAAAAACGACAUGAGAUGACAGCCCGAGAGCUUUGUGUUACGGAUGAUGCACGAAGCUGAUAGAUGUUUCGUAGCACGGGCUGGAAAUAAUAACCAAGCUGACGUUGUAGCUAAGCCUUCUGGGUAGUGUAGUUUCUUGGAUGAGUGCUAAAGCAGAAUAGCUGUAGAGCUGAAGUGUCUCGUAACCCGCCGGUCUUUUGUCGAGCGAGAGUAGGAGAAAAGUGAACGAAAGCGACUGGAUUUUUGUUAGUGUGUGUGAGAUAAAAGUGAGGCUGCUAGUAGUAUAAACCUGCAGCAGGAGGCUAAUCUCUGUUUCCGUCUACCUUAAGGAGACGAGGUCACCGAGAGACCGGGAUUCCGUUUGUGUCGAGCGGAAAUGUAAAGCCGGCAUGCUCAGCAAGAAAUCCCGUGAAUCGAUGCGAUCGUCCUUUCAAUGCAGAUACAAGGGCAACCUGAAUGUGCACUCUCACAGUAUACAUUCUCUUUACACUCUUUGGUGUAAGUAAGUCUGAGACGUUUUGAGAGUGCAGCCCAUCUGUGCUGAGCUGGCACCGAGGCUUGAGAAGUAGAAGCUGGGAUAGUGUAUACUACGAUAGCGUGUGUGAUAGUGUAGGUUUUAUUUUGAUUAUUUAUUUAUUUUUAACUGGCUGCCCUUCCUGCCCCUCCUCCACCUCCUCUUCCUCCGCCAGAUUGCUUGUGAAAGGUAGAGUAAACCUGUCAAGGUCUAAAUGUUCUGUCUCGCCAUGCUUUCUGUCUGAUGAUGGCUGCGGUGGCCAUUACAUUUCCCCAUUCACCGAGAGAGAAAGCGAGCAGGAAUGAUGAAAUGAGGCAGCUGUCACAAAAGAGAGAAAUGGCGAAAGUGAGCUGUCACCUUUCUCCCACACAGCAGUGCUACCAGAGAGGAAAAUGGCAGCUCUCGGUUAGAGGGAAACUCGCUGCCCAAUUUACCCAUCCAGUUUUAUUUUAGUGUAGGAUCAUAAAGCGGACUCAUUGUGCGGUGAUUCUGAUCUGAACAGAACGUGUGUGAGGAUUAGGAUUAGAUUAACAGUAGAGUGUGUGUGUGAGGAUUAGGAUUAGAUAAAUAAAGAGUGUUGUGUGAGUAUUAGGAUUAGAUUAACAGUAGUGUGUGUGUGAGGAUUAGGAUUAGAUUAACAGUAGAGUGUGUGUGAGGAUUAGGAUUAGAUUAACAGUAGAGUGUGUGAGGAUUAGGAUUAGAUUAACAGUAGAGUGUGUGAGAGGAUUAGGAUUAGAUUAACAGUAGAGUGUGUGUGAGGAUUAGGAUUAGAUUAACAGUAGAGUGUGUGAGGAUUAGGAUUAGAUUAACAGUGGAGUGUGUGAGUAUUAGGAUUAGAUUAACAGUAGAGUGUGUGAGGAUUAGGAUUAGAUUACCAGUAGAGUGUGUGAGGAUUAGAUUAACAGUCGAGUGUGUGUGAGGAUUAGGAUUAGAUUACCAGUAGAGUGUGUGAGGAUUAGAUUAACCAUCGAGUGUGUGAGGAUUAGAUCAACAGUCGAGUGUGUGCGUGUGUGUGAGGAUUAGGAUUAGAUAAACCGUGUGUUCCGUACACAGAGAGUGAGAGAAAGACUUCACAAUGUUGUACAGUAAAAAUACAGUAUUACUCCGUAAUCCUCACACCAGCACAUUCACUCUUCUAAAAGCAAUCCCGUCUCUCUUUUUUCUCAUGUCUCUAAUUCAUCCUUCCUUUUACUCUUAUAUUUCCCCCUCAGUUGAAUCCGUUCUUUGUGGAAUGUUAUUUCCUGCAGUAUUUUAUUAACCUGCUUAUUGAAAACGGUUGACGUGAGUAAUCCGGCCUCACUCCGCUUUAAUACACGGACCUGCUGUGCACGAUGCUACUUAUUUUACCUGUGCAUUAGUCUGUUUCAUCCAUCAUGAGCUCCACAACGAUGGCUGGAUCAGAUCCAAUUUCACAGGGGAAUUGAGUGGAACGAGUCAGAUUGCUAGCGUGCACCAUGACAGACAGCAAGAGCAUUUGGGCAGGAGUGAAGGGAUAUAUAGUAUACACUAUAUAAUACUAAAGCAAUACCGCUAUGUGUAUCCGCAUCCGUUUCGUGCUCCGAAUAUCCAUAUCUAGAUUAGGAUUUAAACCCGAAGUGGGCGUGGCCUAAACACGGUAUAUGGAACAUAACUUCGUUUUCACUAAUCGUGGUUUAAUUUACGCUUUCAACGUUUCCGUUUGCCAUCCUGGCACAGAUCUCACAUGCGGGCAGGGCUUAACACAUGAUUUCCUCUCAUUGGCUAGUGAGAUUUGGAUCGACAGCUCCCUGUCCAGGAAGUAGAGAUUUGAGCGGUGUGCAUUCUGGAGGCGUUUCUCUGUAUACUGUAGUUACA